rnacentral:rRNA from 1 species
AAAUGAAUAGACGGGGACCCGCACAAGCGGUGGAGCAUGUGGUUUAAUUCGAAGCAACGCGAAGAACCUUACCAAGUCUUGACAUCCUUCUGACGACUCUUUAACCAGAGUUUUCCUUCGGGACAGAAGAGACAGGUGGUGCAUGGUUGUCGUCAGCUCGUGUCGUGAGAUGUUGGGUUAAGUCCCGCAACGAGCGCAACCCUUGUCUUUAGUAGCCAGCAAGUAAAGUUGGGCACUCUAGAGAGACUGCCAGGGAUAACCUGGAGGAAGGUGGGGAUGACGUCAAAUCAUCAUGCCCCUUAUGAUUUGGGCUACACACGUGCUACAAUGGCGUAAACAAAGAGAAGCAGCCCUGUGAAGGUGAGCAAAUCUCAAAAAUAACGUCUCAGUUCGGAUUGUAGUCUGCAACUCGACUACAUGAAGCUGGAAUCGCUAGUAAUCGCGAAUCAGAAUGUCGCGGUGAAUACGUUCCCGGGUCUUGCACACACCGCCCGU